UACGUAGGGUGCAAGCGUUAAUCGGAAUUACCGGGCGUAAAGCGGGCGCAGGCGGUUUUGUAAGUCUGUCGUGAAAUCCCCGGGCUUAACCUGGGAAUGGCGAUGGAGACUGCAAGGCUAGAGUUUGGCAGAGGGGGGUAGAAUUCCACGUGUAGCAGUGAAAUGCGUAGAGAUGUGGAGGAACACCGAUGGCGAAGGCAGCCCCCUGGGUCAAAACUGACGCUCAUGCACGAAAGCGUGGGGAGCAAACAGG
rnacentral:rRNA from 1 species